AACGCGAAGAACCUUACCUACCCUUGACAUCCACGGAAUUCUGCAGAGAUGCGGAGGUGCCGAAAGGAACCGUGAGACAGGUGCUGCAUGGCUGUCGUCAGCUCGUGUUGUGAGAUGUUGGGUUAAGUCCCGUAACGAGCGCAACCCUUGUUUUCAGUUGCCAGCGCGUAAAGGCGGGGACUCUGAAGAGACUGCCGGUGAUGAACCGGAGGAAGGCGGGGACGACGUCAAGUCAUCAUGGCCUUUAUGGGUAGGGCUACACACGUGCUACAAUGGGGCGUACAGAGGGCAGCCAACCCGCGAGGGGGAGCUAAUCCCAGAAAGCGUCUCUUAGUCCGGACUGGAGUCUGCAACUCGACUCCACGAAGUCGGAAUCGCUAGUAAUCGCGAAUCAGAAUGUCGCGGUGAAUACGUUCCCGGGCCUUGUACACACCGCUCGUC
rnacentral:rRNA from 1 species